rnacentral:rRNA from 1 species
GUAUCAAUGGCAAUUUUAUGGUUUGUAAACUCCUUUUAUACCGGGAAUAAAGUGAGUCACGUGUGGCUUUUUGUAUGUACCCUAUGAAUAAGCAUCGGCUAACUCCGUGCCAGCAGCCGCGGUAAUACGGAGGAUGCGAGCGUUAUCCGGAUUUAUUGGGUUUAAAGGGUGCGUAGGUGGUCUUUAAGUCAGCGGUGAAAGUUUGUGGCUUAACCAUAAAAUUGCCAUUGAUAC